CACAUGAAGCCCAACGGCGCCGCUCCAGACACGAACACGAUGACGCGAGGGCUGCCGCAGCCGCCGCCGCCGUUGCAACCUCGAUGAGCGGCUCUUCCCAUGCCGCAGACAUCGCCACGGGCGACUCCGCCAUCGGCCCCCGCCACGGCCCCCCUACACCCCGGCGCUGUUGGGACCUUCCCCGGCAAUGAGCAGCCAGCAGAUUGUAGUACCCAUGAUGACAUAGCUGGAUGUAUUAUGGGAGAUGAAGAUGAUGAUGAGAUCUAACUCAGGCUGCAAGGCAGCGCGGGCUUGCGGCCGCCGCAACAACGCCGCACGCGCACGCGGAUGGAAACGGGCCGCCGUAUAAGCCCGUGUACGAUG